CACACACAUUAGAGAGGUGUGUGUGGGCGAUGGAUUGAGCAGGGGAGAAGACAAACCCUAAAAACCACAAAAUUCCCCAAAUUGGAAGAGAAAAAUGAAGGUUUGAUGGAUGCAUGAGCUAUAUUCCCAACCAUCUACACAAGAUAAACACAUGCAUUAGGGAUCAUGUGGAAGUGGACUCAAGCACGAAAGACUAACGGGUCAAGAGGGGACAAGGAAGCCAAUGCGAAAAUGGACGCUCAAGGUAGUACGAGAUACGAAGGAUCUUCAAGGGAUAGAGAUCAAGGACCGAGUCACAAGACAGAUUGUACGGGAACGUUGGUGUUGAAAUUUAGAAAACCCAUGUCAUGUAUUUAAUUGUAAAUGAGUCGGUUGAUGACUUCAUGUGAAAAAGUUGUGUUAAAAUGAAAUUUUAAAUAA